rnacentral:lncRNA from 1 species
UGCUUUUCUCUUUUUCCUUGGAUAUAUUUUUUCUACAAUCUCUUUAAUUGAUCAUCAUCACUUCCAUGUUGCUGCACCUUCAUGCUUUGCUUUCAUUUCAUCAUUUCUCUUUCUUUUCCAUAUUUUACAAAUCACUUUCAUACUCCACUUUCAUUAUUUUUCUUCCACUCAUCAUUUCACUCUUCUUUUUCUUCCCUAUAUAAACACCUUCUCCUCUCAUUCUAAAACACAUUCCUUCAUCCAUUCCAUCUUCUUUGUCUCUCCAUUUCCUUUCCAUUUUUCUAUACACACAUUCCUUCAUCCAUCUCAUCUCCUUGUCUCACCAUUUCCUCUCCAUUUUCCUUAGUCACCAUUUCAUACAAAAAUUCCUUCAUCCAUCUCAUCUCCUUGUCUCACCAUUUCCUCUCCAUUUUCCUUAGUCACCAUUUCAUACAAAAAUUCCUUCAUCCAUCUCAUCUUCUUUGUCUCUCCAUUUCCUUUCCAUUUUUCUCUCAAUUCUCUAGUUUUAAGUUUCUGCAUUUUUAUGCAAAGAGAAGAAGAGAAGAAGAAGCCAUGAAGCCUACUAGCCGUCAUCAUCCACCUUGUGCCGUGAUAGUGAAGUCUUGCUUUAAAGAUUCAAGAUCAACGUCUCAAGCUCUUCAUCAUCCACUCCCUUCAUGGUAUUUGUAG